AGUGAACGCUGGCGGUAGGCCUAACACAUGCAAGUCGAACGGCAGCACAGUAAGAGCUUGCUCUUACGGGUGGCGAGUGGCGGACGGGUGAGGAAUACAUCGGAAUCUACUUUUUCGUGGGGGAUAACGUAGGGAAACUUACGCUAAUACCGCAUACGACCUACGGGUGAAAGCAGGGGAUCUUCGCACCUUGCGCGAUUGAAUGAGCCGAUGUCGGAUUGGCUAGUUGGCGGGGUAAAGGCCCACCAAGGCGACGAUCCGUAGCUGGUCUGAGAGGAUGAUCAGCCACACUGGAACUGAGACACGGUCCAGACUCCUACGGGAGGCAGCAGUGGGGAAUGUUGGACAAUGGGCGCAAGCAUGAUCCAGCCAUACCGCGUGGGUGAAGAAGACCUUCGGGUUGUAAAGCCCUUUUGUUGGGAAAGAAAAGCAGCAGGUUAAUACCCCGCUGUUCUGACGGUACCCAAAGAAUAAGCACCGGCUAACUUCGUG
rnacentral:rRNA from 1 species